rnacentral:rRNA from 1 species
CUACGAGAGGCAGCAGUGAGGAAUAUUGCACAAUGGGGGAAACCCUGAUGCAGCAACGCCGCGUGGAGGAUGACGCAUUUCGGUGUGUAAACUCCUUUUAUGAGUCAAGAAAAUGACGGUAGCUCAUGAAUAAGCACCGGCUAACUCCGUGCCAGCAGCCGCGGUAAUACGGAGGGUGCAAGCGUUACUCGGAAUCACUGGGCGUAAAGGACGCGUAGGCGGGAUGUCAAGUCAGGUGUGAAAUCCUAUGGCUCAACCAUAGAACUGCACUUGAAACUGGCAACCUAGAGUAUGGGAGGGGGAGAUGGAAUUAGUGGUGUAGGGGUAAAAUCCGUAGAUAUCACUAGGAAUACCGAAAGCGAAGGCGAUCUCCUGGAACAUUACUGACGCUAAGGCGUGAAAGCGUGGGGAGCAAACAGGAUUAGAUACCCGCGUAGUC